AAGCUGUGAUUUGAUGGUUGCUAUGGAGUUUGCUAGAGGAAAUGGGGGUUGGGGGCAAGGAUCAUUGCAGGCAGAGAGAACACCGCAAGGUGUAAGGCCUGAAAGAAGGCAGAGGGGCCACCCAGGUAAAGAGAUGGGAGCAAUUAGCAUGUGAUGAGUUGGGAAAAAGCCAGAAAGGGACUUGUGAGCCAGAGAAAGGAAUGUAGACUUUAUCCUGACAAUUCAGGGCUUUGGAGGGGGUUUUACCAUUUGGUUUGGUUUUGGUUUUUUGUUUGUAUGGUUUGCCUUGGAGGGUUUUUAACAAAGAAGUGACCAAUCAGAUUUGAUUUAUAGGUGGGCCUGGAGGCCCUGUAAGUCCCAAUACAGGGUCAGUAGCAGCAUUUUCAAGGGCAGGGGCUAUGUUCUCCCACUGGGGGCUCAAAUUGGGACUCCUACUUGGGGUGAUUUCUUCACCCCUUCCCUGAUGCUUUUUUCCUACACCCACCCCCACUGUGACUGGUUUGUUCUUUGGCAUCCUACUGGCCCUUCCUAAACUUUAGUCAAGAUACUAGGUUGACAGUAUCCCCAAUCUACCACCCUAUUUUUCAAUCAUUUAUUUACUCAUCUCACUUAUAAGAAGUUGUUAUAUGCCAGGUGUUGUGCCAAUCACUGGGGGGUGCGGAAGGGAAGACUCACAUGUUUCCUGAUCUCAAAGACUCAGAAUUUGUCCAGUAGUUCCUCCACUUGCCCAUGCACCAGAAGCCUCUGUAAAGUUCUGAAAAAUACAGCUGAUUGAAUAUCACUGGACUGACUAAAUUGGAAUCUUUGGAGGAACUGAGUCACUUUGGGUGGGAAGGUGAUACAAAGAGAGAGAAGAAAAAUGAAUGAAUACCUGAUCAUCUCCAGAAAAGGGGUAAGAAAUCAGGACCAUCAAGCCUAGAGAAGUGGGUGAAAAGUGAUUUCCACCUGGACAAAGUCACUGCGUCCCUGUGCAGAGGCAGGCACCCUGACCCCAGCCUGAAAGCUGAAGUUGGCUCAAAGGAGGCAGGUAGGAGGAGGCCACUUCGUGUCUCACUGAGAGGAGGCAAGCUGUCUGGCUCCUGCUUAAAAACCUAUGUGCGAUUUUGUGAUUUUUUAGUCCCGACCACAGGUAAUUACAGAGGCUUUGCCUGGGGGGGGGGGGGGGGGGGGAGGGGUGCGGAGAAGCUGCCCUCGCCACAGCAACCUUGGUGCACGGCCUCUAUCGCAUCUGGAGGGAGGUGCAGUCAAGCACUCAGGCCCCCCUCGCUGGUCACGCUCUUGGCUUCUUUGCAUUCCUAGCUGGGAGACACCUUUGUUCCCGUCUCCCUGUCUGAGGCUUGAGCAGCGGUCCUCUUCAGGUGCCCAUCUCUGCUGAAUCCUCCUUAGUGGAGGGAGGGAUGGAUGUGGGGGAGGAAACCCUGAAGACACUCUCUUCACUGUCUCAGUACCCAGUACUUUUCCACUCGGAGCCCUUCCCCCAGCCUUCUCCUCCAACCUCAGGGUCCAUAAAGCUGCCUUUUCCUCAGGGGCUUCCUCAUGAGUGAGACAAGCCUCACAUCUACACUGAUGCAGCUGCCCCUGACUGGUAUGCAGUUCCAUGGCAGAAAGUGGAACAGGGGAUGGGCACCUUCUCUGAUUUUAGACUCUUGCUUGUACUGUCACAGUGAGUGAUUAAGGGCUUGUUGCUUUAAUUGGCUACUCUGACUCCUGACAGCAAAGCCCUCUCUCCCUCCCUCUGAGUUGAGCUCCUGACAGGAGCUCAAGCCCCCUACCCAGUGGGGAGCACACACUUCAAGCAUGGCCCCAUUUCUGGUGGAGGCCAUGUUCCUAUUUCAGUUCUCCACUCCGUUUCUCUGUCUCUCUCACUCAUACACAACAGUACCUGAGGACAAAAAGAAACCCAGAGUUGCCACGGGGGGCUGGAAGGGAAUCAGUAGGAAAGAGAGGAAUAACGAAGCAGGCCCUGGCCAGAUCCAGACUCAGAGACCAAUUUCUUUCCAUCUAUGCUGCAGAGGAGGAAUCAGAGUUGGCAAGGUGAGUGACUUCGCUCUGGCCACCCAACUAAAACCCAGGCCCUGAUGAUUUCCAGGCUGCCUCCUUGAUCUUUCAACCUCCUGCUACAGGUUCCGGGCAGGGCUGCAUCUCUGGGUGCCCAGGACUGUGCCCUGCCCUCUGUAGUCUGUCCUCUGAGGAGCCUCAGCCUCACUGGGGAAAGGGAGACUAGAGCAGGGCUCUAAACUUUGAGCAAGCUCACCAUCAGUCACCUGGAGGGCUGGGUAAAACACAGACCGCCAGCCCCACUCCCCGAGCGUCUGAUUCAGUAGGUGUGGGGUAGGGUCUGAGAAUUUGCGUUUCUAACAAGUGCCCAGGUGUGGCUGAUGAGAACCGCCGGGCUAGACUAUGAACAGCCAAAAAGCAACAGAGAAAGAAAGAAUGGAAACUAAGCAAAGGAAGGAAGAAGGGAAGGGGUAGGGGUGACAUCGUAUCAGGGCAAGAAAUGAACCUGAAGGGCUGGGCCCUGGGAGGUUUUCCUCUUCCUCAACCACCCUGAUCUCAGGCUUACCCAGAAGUUUUCACAGUUUCCUUUAAACCCCUCCCCCACCCUCUGCGCUCUGGCCCACAGGUGAGGGCAAAAGCCCCACUUAAAUGAGAAGCCUUAGAGCCUGCGCUUAAAAAGCCCUGAGGUGGCUUCUUUUCCAACACCGUUCAUCCUCGCUUCCUUGUUGCGAUGCUGCAGGCUGCUCAACUGCCAGCUACUCAUGAGCCUCAGGUCCUGAGGAUAGAGUCCUGGAGGGUAGUUGUAGCUAACUUCCCCAUCUUUCUCUGGCUGCCCCCGUGCACUCACAGGAGCCCUGGAAAGCCCAGAGAAAGGGGCCUAAAGCUGUUCCAGCGACAGCAGGAGGAGGGCUAGAGAGUAGUCGACGCAAAGGCAGAGAGCAGGAACCCUCCGCCCAGAGAAGAGGCACUGGGGGACCCUGGACGGGGUGAGGCCAGCUGGAGGCCCCCUCCGGCUGCCUAGUGACCCACAGAGCACCAACUGACAAGCAGCUGCUGUGAGCUUCUCUGCCCCAGGCUGGCUCUGCAGAAACAAGUGCUAACAGAAACCCACAACGGUCUGGAGAAGCGACCUUUGAUUGCUCAAGAGAGCUUGUGACUAACAUCCCAGAGACAGAGUCCAGAGGGAGGAGAAGAAGAAUCCUGAAAUGAAGCUGCCAGGACCUGCUGGAGUCCUGUCUCAGGGAUGACCUAGGAGGACCAGGUCAGCACCCCAGGAAACUCUGGCUCUGAACACACUCUCGAGUACACGCUAUUCCAGGCAUUAAUCCUUCUAGACAAGUCCUGAGAUACCAAGAGAUACCAGAAAUGAAAAUGUGCCCUGCUUAGUGACUGCCUGUUUGUGUUUGGCUUACAGAGGCAUCAUGGGGACUCGAGUGGGACAAGCUGGAAUGCUGGUUUUACCUGGUACACUGUCCGGUCAAUUAGUCAAGGGGCAAGAAAACUUUUCCUGAGCCAGAAAGCAGAGCUUCGAGACUCAGCUUUGUCACCUUGCUGGGUCUCAGUUUCUUCACCUGUAAAUGAUGGGAUGGUACUGGAUGACAUGCCUUCCCCACUUUCUCCGUCGGGCAGUCAAUCACUAAGAACUGACAAUUACGCCUCCUGAUUGUAUUCAAAGCCAGACACCUUCUCUCCACCACACUGCAUGGCCUCCAUUCAGCCCCAUCAUUUCCCACUGGCAUCGCUGCAUCUCCUAACCGGUCUCACUACCUUCACUCUCCUCCCCUCUUCAUGCUGGGCCAGUUGUUUUUCUGAAAUUCAAUUCUUGAAUGUUUGACCCUCUAAGAGGCCCUGCCCAACUUUAUCGGCCAUAAGGCUCUACGGUGGGGUCUCUGUCUGCCCUGCAGCCUUAUUUUCUCCCCCAGCGCUCUCCCCUGCUUCACAUCGUCACGCACUCCAGGCACCCAACGCCAAGAGGUGGACCUCUCCCCCACCCGCGUAUAUGCUGUUGUGCCCUUGGAUGGGCACUCACUCAUAAACCGCUACUGGCCUGCAAUGAAGCAGAAAAUGAUUGAAUCACAGUGAAUAAAUGGGGGAAGAAGAAAAAUUAAGAGUAAGCACUUGGAAACUUUUAUAACUACCUGACAACAAUUUUAUGUCUGUUGAAUCUAAUAAUAAAAAUCUGGGCUCCUA